rnacentral:rRNA from 1 species
GUAUCCUGGCUCAGGAUGAACGCUAGCUACAGGCUUAACACAUGCAAGUCGAGGGGGCAGCAUGGUCUUAGCUUGCUAAGGCCGAUGGCGACCGGCGCACGGGUGAGUAACGCGUAUCCAACCUGCCUUACACUCUUGGACAGCCUUCUGAAAGGGAGAUUAAUACAAGAUGUUAUCAUGAGUAAGCAUUUUCGCAUGAUUAAAGGUUUACCGGUGUAAGAUGGGGAUGCGUUCCA